GAUGAACGCUGGCGGCGUGCCUAAUACAUGCAAGUCGAGCGAACGGACGAGAAGCUUGCUUCUCUGAUGUUAGCGGCGGACGGGUGAGUAACACGUGGAUAACCUGCCUAUAAGACUGGGAUAACUUCGGGAAACCGGAGCUAAUACCGGAUAAUAUUUUGAACCGCAUGGUUCAAAAGUGAAAGACGGUCUUGCUGUCACUUAUAGAUGGAUCCGCGCUGCAUUAGCUAGUUGGUAAGGUAACGGCUUACCAAGGCAACGAUGCAUAGCCGACCUGAGAGGGUGAUCGGCCACACUGGAACUGAGACACGGUCCAGACUCCUACGGGAGGCAGCAGUAGGGAAUCUUCCGCAAUGGGCGAAAGCCUGACGGAGCAACGCCGCGUGAGUGAUGAAGGUCUUCGGAUCGUAAAACUCUGUUAUUAGGGAAGAACAUAUGUGUAAGUAACUGUGCACAUCUUGACGGUACCUAAUCAGAAAGCCACGGCUAACUACGU
rnacentral:rRNA from 1 species